rnacentral:misc_RNA from 1 species
GAUGAAGAACGCAGCAAAAUGCGAUAAGUAAUGUGAAUUGCAGAAUUCAGUGAAUCAUCGAAUCUUUGAACGCACAUUGCGCCCGCUGGUAUUCCGGCGGGCAUGCCUGUUCGAGCGUCAUUUCAACCCUCAAGCCCCCGGGUUUGGUGUUGGGGAUCGGCUCUGCCCUUCUGGGCGGUGCCGCCCCCGAAAUACAUUGGCGGUCUCGCUGCAGCCUCCAUUGCGUAGUAGCUAACACCUCGCAACUGGAACGCGGCGCGGCCAUGCCGUAAAACCCCAACUUCUGAAUGUUGACCUCGGAUCAGGUAGGAAUACCCACUGAACUUAAGCAUAUCAAUAAGCGGAGGA